rnacentral:lncRNA from 1 species
ACCCAGUAAUUCAUUAUUACUGGCUAAGCUAUUGGUGGCAUUGCAUGGUUUAUAUAAGUGUGCUGUCCAGAAACUUCCAUUACCUUGGAGAGUCCUGAGUUGUUAUAUUACAGUUCUUCAUCUUAGAAGGUGGUCAUAAGAAAGUUUAGUGCUGAAACUAGAAGAAUUAUACCAGAAAUAAAAUGCAUAAGGUCAUUGAAAAUGCUUACACAAGCGUGUGUGGUUAUUUGGUUAUAAAAAGCCCUUUAUUUAGUAAAAUAUCUGCUGUUUAGGAAAGGCUGGAAUUCAUAUAAAGGUUGCUCUUAGACUUAAAAUCUAUUUAAAAGUAUUGUGAAUAAUUACUUGUGGUAAAUGUUAUUGACAUUGACUCAUAGGGUCUGAUGUACAUUGGUUUAAUGUUCCAAAUAACAGGUCUUAAAAUCCAGAUUCUUCUACUUUCAAGUGUCCCUAAUGCCCCAAUAAAUUAGCUCUUAGAUUAACACUUUGUUGAAUUAAGGUAAUCUAAUGUGUUUUUUAGAAUCUGCACGACUCAUAAAAGUGUUCAGCUGUGUUUUUCAGAAAUAAUUAGAAAUUUAGAAACUUUGAAAAUCUGGAGUCUCACUUUCUCGUAACUUCUGGAAAACUGAUUAACUUUUCUUCUUUUGUCUUUUUCUUUCUUCCUGUGUUCCCAUCCCCGAGCCCUGCAGAGCAAAGAUGGGCUCGGUGCUGUUUGUGUGUCUCCUGCUCAGGACGUGGACGGCUGUGGUUGCUGUGGGUGGAGAGCGCAGAUCAGGAGAGCGCGGCUGGAAGGGCUCAGUGCCUGGUACAAUUUAUGCUGCAUUUAAUCAGCGGUGCCUGCGAGAUCGUCUUUGUUCCUUUACAAUACUGGCAAGAAAAUAUUUCAGAACUACAAUAGCCUACCAGUGAUAUUGACUUUGAAUUGAGUCUAGUUUCUCUGUGCAUUUGAAAUAACAAUGAGGUCAUUAACUGUGAGGUUGGUAUUGGGCUAAGCAAACUGACUAAGAAGUGGUUACAGAGAAUACAAAAACCGUCUCCUAAGCAAGAGAAUACUUCAGAUGUGUGAGGAAAAGAGUUUUGGCUUUCAAAGUGGCUGUAUAGACAAUCAUUCUUUUAAGACACUUGACUGAAAAGUUGUUUAUUUGAUCUCACAUGAAGAUGGAAAAUCUCUCAGCACAGAAUCCUGAGCCAUUAGGAGAUUUGGAUUAGGAAGGAAUCAUUUCUGUUCUGAGAGUAAGGGAAUACUGCAGCUGAGAUUUUUAUUCUACAAAGAUAUAUAAAGGGCUAGCAGCAGAACAUUGUGCUGCUGCAUUGGCAAGAUGACAAGAUUUGAAAGUGGCAGAUUUUAAAUAAAUAGGUGGAAACACAAUUACUCA